UUUAUUUUAAAGGGAAAAUAAAACAAGAAAGAAAAACCCUAAAAAGUGACUCCAUAGUUUUGGAAAAAGCAUGUCUUUGAGAAACCCGAGUCUAGGUCCGGGGAUCAGGUUACUUAUUGGGAAGGUACCUCUAGGAGGUAGCACCCCUCUAAGCCCUCUAAAGGUCUCUACUGACAAAGUUAAGGGAAGUGUGACCAUUAAUCAGUUAAUUAUGGAUACCUAAGUAGGCUAGGUGAUUUUAAAGAGUGGCAUGCCAAACACAAUCAAAUUGCAAUAAAAGAGAGUUAGGGUGCGUACCUGAAUCGCUCUUCAAGCGCUAUCAUAAAACAUAAAAGUUAGUGUAGAAAUGUAGCACACAACAUUUGUUUUAUUCAAGCAAAUCAAGCAUAUAUCAAAAC
rnacentral:lncRNA from 1 species